UUCGAACCCAUACCCCGUUUUCUAUCCGCGGUGUCUCUCGUCUUCGGGAAUCCAUAGUUUGGUGAAGCGAGAGAGCCUUGGCUACUUGCUCCGAUCCAUCCAUCGUCUCCUUGAAGGCUUCGAAUCCAGUGGCCUCUUUAGCCCCUGUUCGGUGCCCUCCUUCGAGAGCCCCAGCCCUCCCGAAGGGCUUCCUCGGCCUGAGGGCGAGCAAGGGCUUCCGUCCUCUCUCCACCCGCUUGGCCUCUGCCAAGAGAUCAUCCUCAACAAGUUUCUGCGUCAAAGCUGCAUUCGAGAGCGACCUGCCUUUGGUUGGAAAUAAACCUCCGGAUUUUGAAGCCGAAGCUGUUUUCGAUCAGGAAUUCAUUAAUGUACGAACACGUUCCACCACCCGUUAUAUUUCUUUGAUGUACUCAUUGGUCCGAUGAAGUGAUUGUCGCUUUGAUGUUGCUGAUGAUGUUAGCUCAGCUCUAUACUGGUCGUUUGAAAGAGCACUUUUUUCCUUCCUGCACCGUUGCAAACAUGGUUAAAGAGUUGCCAUUUGUCACUCAUCUUGGAUGGGCGAGAACCAGACUCUUCUACACAGAGGCCUGGGAUUCACUCCUCAUCUCACUCAGUCUGUUGUAUAUUUAUCAUAGAUGAUCUCUAUUGACUACGGACUUGAAUGGGCAGCUUACUUUGGUCUA